rnacentral:rRNA from 1 species
UGGGGAAUUUUGGACAAUGGACGCAAGUCUGAUCCAGCCAUGCCGCGUGCGGGAAGAAGGCCUUCGGGUUGUAAACCGCUUUUGUCAGGGAAGAAACGAGUUUCUCUAAUACAGAGACUUAAUGACGGUACCUGAAGAAUAAGCACCGGCUAACUACGUGCCAGCAGCCGCGGUAAUACGUAGGGUGCGAGCGUUAAUCGGAAUUACUGGGCGUAAAGCGUGCGCAGGCGGUGAUGUAAGACAGAUGUGAAAUCCCCGGGCUCAACCUGGGACCUGCAUUUGUGACUGCAUAGCUAGAGUACGGUAGAGGGGGAUGGAAUUCCGCGUGUAGCAGUGAAAUGCGUAGAUAUGCGGAGGAACACCGAUGGCGAAGGCAAUCCCCUGGGCCUGUACUGACGCUCAUGCACGAAAGCGUGGGGAGCAAACA